UACCCGCUGAACUUAAGCAUAUCAAUAAGCGGAGGAAAAGAAACCAACAGGGAUUGCCUCA
rnacentral:rRNA from 1 species